UGUAUCACAGCAAGCAAUCAACAAUUCUGCUGCAGCAUUUCGUUUUUGACGUACAAACAACACAAACUCAUCUAUUCCUUUACCCAAUUUUGCAUUCCACAGUUGUCAUUCCUGGUUUUGAGUUUUGAGCUGCAUUCAUCCAUUCCACGAUUUCGUUUUCGACGUACAAACUACACAAACGCAUCUAUACAUGUACGUGUCAAUUUUGCAUUGCACAAUUGUCAUUCCUGGUUUUGAGAUCCAUUCCACAUUCCAUUUUUCUAAGGCGAGACCCCAAACGUAACCAUGCACCCAAAAAAAAUACGUGCAUGGUUACGGCGAAGCCAUAGUAUGCAGUUAAGUGGACACCUCAAAACAGUCAGAUAAGAUUGUGAGAGAACCAUACGUUGUAGAGACAUGCGGUUUUGACCAAUGGUGACUUUUUUUCCUGCAUCUCAAAAUAUUCCGCUGAAAGUGAAAAAUCGGCUCAGGGAAAUCGAAAGAGCUUCAAAAAACAUUAAGAUCAUUCUUUGGAUUCAUGCAGAUCGGAUCAACAAUGACGAAGUUAUGGAGAUUAUUACAUCUUUGACAAUCUUAUUGGUGAUCCAUCCGGUGCGACGAUUAUCUACAUAAUUAAAAGAUAAGUGCUUACGUCAUUAAUAUUAUUUUAUUGAACACAGUACUUUUCAAAAAUACUUAUAUCU